UUCUGCAGUCAAAUAUAUAUAUUUAUUAGUGUUUACCUAGAAGGAUUCAUGAUGAUAUUCAUAUUUAAUGGUAUGUUUUUACCUGUAUACAUUUGUAGAAAGCGGUCCCAGGAAUAUAUAAAGGAAAUGUCAUAACUCAUAAUUGAUUGCAACAUGUUGUUUAAAUCUUCACCUAAAUUUUUUUCUGGUUUAUAACUCAUCAGGAUCUGUGAGGUUAAAUCAAAUAACAUCUGCAAAUACCCAAACCAACAAUCUAUAUUUAUCUUUACUACAAUAUUUCAUUCUUGGAUCAUCUGGUUAUCCAUAUGCCAUAAUUACUUACGGGAACAGUUUGGAGUUUUACAUCGACCUCUGGCAGAUUGGUCCACUUAUGUACUUCAUGGUUUAUUACAUCCUCAAGCUCAGACAACAGCUUACGUUUGAGUGGCUCAUGUCCGAAAUGACGGAGAAUGGAGCGCCGUAGAUACCUCUGGAAGUAGCCACCUAGAUUACUCAAGUUAUCGUUGUGUACCGUCUGUGAAAAGGAAUCCAUGUAAUAGAGUUCGAUGAGUUUCCCCUCGUGUUGCAACACGAAGUAGUUGAAUUCGGGAUCUGAUGACACCGCCACCGGUCGACCCGCUAUGUUUGUCUUGAACAACGGACCGUAUCUAAAACCACAUUUGAAAAAAUGAGAUACAUAAUGCACUGACCGUGUAUAAUUGUAGGGUUAUUUUAUUACCUUUUCAAUCUUUCAUUAACGAAAGGAUGCAUGUCAAUGGAGUUGGAAGUGACAAAGAAGCUAAGGGUCUCUCCUAUAAGAGGGAAUCCCAUGGAACCAGGAGGGAGUUUGCCCUUGCAUUUAGGGUUCCUCCACCUAUAAAUCCAGUUGCCUACACUUACACUCAAAAAAGAUAUUAUGAAAACCCAAACAUACCAUAUUUCCAUUAUCAUUGCACCAACAAUGAAAUGGAUAAGGAGUUUGAAAAGUAGAAUUUGAUUUCUUUCUUUAACGUUGCUCCCUUAUAUAGAAGCUUUAUGAUAUUGUUUGAUUUGAAAUAUUCAAUAGUCAAUUGGAUAAUAAAUAUUAAUUCGAUGUUUUUAUCUUUUCAAUUUUUUAAUAAAAUAAUAUGAUGAUGAGCUUUUAACUUUAGUUAUAUUAAUUUUAAGAUUUAUUUGAAUUUUAUAAUAGAAUUUUUUUUCAUUCACUCGUGAAUGUGUCAUAACUUAGUAUAAGAUAAUGUUGUUAAUUGAGUUUAUAUCACAAGUCAACUUGACAUAUUAUAUAUGUGCUAUUAUUAAUAGUUUCAAAUUAUACGUUUCAUUAUUUAAUAGAUGUUAUGUUUAAAUGCACACGUGUUCUAAAUGCAUGGUUUUUACACGAAUACUCAUAUAAUAAAAUUACUAAUAUGUAUAUAAGAGUUUAAAUUAUAUUAACAAGAUUUAAAAUAAGUAUUCUUUUAAAAAAAUAUUGUUUUAAAAUAUUUAUUAAAUAAAAUAUUUAUAUUUAAUUCAUUGUGAGAUUCAACCUUAUCAUCAAACCAAUGUCUCACGCACAAAACCUAAUGAGGGUUAAAGAGCGAUUAUGUAUGUAAGAUGUUAUUUAUGACACUAUAAAAAAUUGUAUAAUAUGAUAUAAAUUGUAAAUUAAAUAUAAAAAUUUAAUAUAAGUUGUUGGUAACCUUUUGGCCUAGUGUAGGGGCGAAGCCAGAAAUUAUUUUUUAGGGGGGGCCGAAAUUAGAUUGUAAUUUUUACGAUAGUAAAAGUACAAUUUCACCAUUUUAAUAGCUUCUAUCUUUAUAAUUUUCAAAGGAUUAAAUCAAAUUUUUAUCAUUUUAGGGAAGCCAAAGUGUAAUUUUACCUUUACUAAUUUAAAAUUUUAAAAAUUUCAAAAGGCCUAAAUGAAAAUUUUUACAUUUUAGGGGGGCCGGUGCCCCUGCCUGCCAGCCCCCCUGGCCUAGUGGUAAGAGUAUUGUGUUAUAGGCAUUAGAGUUUCGGUUCAAUCCCAAGCAAUUCCAUUCCUCAUCCCUAAUUUUCGAAAAAAUUAGGCAUAAUGAAUUAUUUGGCCCUCCAACUUCACAAUAUAAAGUAGUUUUAUUUUUUCAUUUGUUUUUUCGUCUUUUUUAGCUCUUGAAUUUGCAUGGUUUGUCAAAUCACCAAAAAAUGAGUGGAAAAGUUAAUGUUUGUUAACUUUAUUGAUGUGGCAGUAAAAUAAUUAAAUGAAUGACUAAAAUGAUUUUUUUUAUAAAGUUGAAGGGCUAAAUAAAUUAUUAUGCCAAAAGUUAAUAUAUGUAAUGUUUUAAUUAAUUUCCAAGUAUUUAGUAGUUAAAUGCUUUUUUUUUAUUAAACAAUAUUAGUGGAGAGGAAUACUUUUUUACUUAAAUAAUAUAAAAUAAAUAAAUAAAUACCAAAAUAGGAUAGGAAAAAUAUUAAUUACCGAAAUAGGCAUUUAUUAUAGUAACCCGUUGUUGCUGUUUGAUCAAUCGGCGGCAUCACUCUCACUUCUCCCCAAUCACUGUGGCAUGAUUAGUUUUUUUUUAAAGAAUUUUUUUUGAGCUGCCUCAGUAAAAUAUUUUUUUAGUUGGUAAAUUAAUAAUUUAGUUUUUUUAUUAGAUGAUUAAAUGUUAGCGCUUGUAUCUUUGAGUUUCGGGUUCGAUUUUUUUUCACUCACAUUUGUAUUUGUUAUUUCAUGUUGUUUAAAGCUUUUUAUGUAUUUAUUUUUAAUUAAUAUUUUUAACACAUUAGCUUUUUUAGUUAGAUGGUUAGAUAAUUGUGAUUUAAUUCUCGAGUCUCAAGUUUGAUUUUUCUUAUAAAUAUUUUAAUAUGUAUUUUUUAUUCCAUGUUGUUUCAAGCAAUAAAAAAAAUCUUGCAACAACAUGAAAUAAAAAUUCAUAUUAAAAUGUUUAUAAGAAGAAGCAAACUUGGGAGUCAAGAAUAAAAUCACAAUUAUCUAACCAUCUAACUAAAAAACUAUCAUAUUAACUAAAAAUAUAAAUAAAAAAAAAACUUAGAAUCACCAAAUUGGGUAUCCCUUCAACGAGCAACAACAAGAAAUAAAUGAAUAGCUAAGUUUUGCAUGCAUGUAAAUUUAGCCUGUUUUGGGUUAUUGGACUUCAAUUGACUUUAUUUAUCAUAGUUUUUGGUGGGGUUUGGGUGAAUAAGAUACUUAGUUUACAAGAAACCCAAAGUGAAAAGAAGAAGGAAAUAGAUGCCACAAAUUAAAUUAAGUGAUUGGCUAAUGUUGAAAUUUUUACUUAUUUCAGGUGAGAUACCCAAACCCAUAAAGGUGAUGUUGGUGGCCUGGCGGCCUUACCCUAUCUUCCCCACUUUUGACAGCUAAAAAUAAAAAUAAGGUAGUUGGGAGAAAACUAAAACAAUUGGCUAUAUAAACUAAGAAAUUCCAUUUUGGGGGGCUAUGUUUUAAUGGAACAACACAAUUAAUCCCAAGUUGGGUCAUCCAAUUUUAACUUAUAGAACCCUAAUCUUGAUUUUUUUUAAGUAUAUGAAAUGAAGGCCAACUUUAAUCUGGUUAUGUUUAUCAAACCAAGCUAUCAUUUUUUAAUGGUUUCCUUUGAUUUAACGAAAUAGUUUCUUAAAUGUUUUUGGUUUAAAGAUUAUGCCUAACAGAUGCGUUUGGGAAAGGUGGGCUUAAUUUAAUGUCCCACACAAAACCUUACCUUUUUAAUUUUUUAGGAAAAAAAAUUUAGUGUUGCUGAUGGAUGUUUCAAUAGUAUUAAUUGCUUAAUAUAAAUAUGUUGUUUAAUAAUAUUAAAUGCUGAAUAUAAAAAAAAUUUAUUUUUAAUUUUAUUUUCGUCCUACUAUUUCAUAUAAAAUCAUUUUUUGGACUCAUCAUCCUCGGCACUGAAAAAAAAAUUGUUAAAAUUCCAAAACACAAGUCAUCCAAUAAAAAAAAUUCGAUUGAGUCUUAACUCGAUUAGUAUGAGUAUUGUUGUCAAUGUAGGAAGACAUGUGUUUGAGUAUACUGAAACACAUUAUCCUCCUAUUUAUGGGUUAGGGAGGAACUAUGGAUAGUUCUAAGCAUUGUGUCAAAAAAAAAAAAGAUAUGACCAUAAUCUAUAAUGAGAUUGUUCAACAAAUUUUUUUAUCGAGUUUCUCUUUUUUUCUAUGUAUUUUUUUUAUUUCGUUGAAGCUAAAUUAUUUAUAGAUUUGAAAUGUUAUUAUUAUUAUUAUUUGGAUUUAAACAUAAAACAUCUUUAUUGAGUUAGUGUCACAAAUCAAUCAAAUCCCAAUUUAAUUAGAAAAAUUACUUUAAUAUCUUUUUGUUAUUAAAAAAAUCAUUAAAAAUAUGCAUAUGAUGAAAUUUGAACUUAUAUCGAUUGAGUUAGUAAAACUUUAAAUUUAUUACUCAACCAAUAAAUCAUUGUUAAGUACAUCUCAGUAUUCUGAGUGGUUAAUGGUGGAUUUUCAUUCUCCUCCAAUACUCUGAUAAGGACUCAAAAAGAGUUCCAAUUCUUGAUUCUAAAAGAGUUUCAAGGACACAACGAAUUUCUAGUUAGCGGAGUUCAGAAAGAACAGCGUAAAGAUAGAGCUGACUUGCAUCUGGCAAUUUCUAUAGUUCUAUUUUCUUCUUUGAUUCUGAAAAUAACGGUUAAAGGCCAAGAAAUGCAAGAACAGUUGCUUGCUAAGUUUAGCUGCUUUUCAUCACUGUUGAUCUUAUUUGUAAUCUAGUGUUGUACCCUCUAGAUCCAGUUUUGCACUUCAAAUUGUGCUUGAUAUUUCUGCUUUUGUUUUAACUUGAUGUAAGGAAUAAUGGCAAUUGUUUUGGUACCAGGACCACUGGACCAAGGUGGUUGUUUCUAAAUCAAUAAAUUGAAAAUAGGCUGCCUGAAUUUGAUAUGUCAUUAGCCGCUAACUUGAUCUUGUUACAGCCCUCCUUACUCCUAUUUCUGCUUUCCCUCCCUUCGGUGAAACAAAAAAGCAAGUUAUUAUCAUGUAAUUACUAGAUAAUAUGUAAGUUGAUUUCUGCAAGAAGAUAGUUAUCUUUAUUUCUAAAUUUUCAUUUCUUUCCUAAAAUGAUUCUUUGCAGUCAGCUGGUAAGUUCAUUCAGAUACUGAUUUUAAACGUCCAAGUAUUCUGACAUUUAAAUUUGUCUUAGUACUAUCACCCAAAAUUUAUGGUUCUUUUCUAUGAUAAAAUUUGUGUUUGAUUAAAUUUUCAGGUUCUUGUACCAAUUGCUGAUGGCUCAGAAGAAAAGGAAGCAGUUAUGAGCAAAGGCAAAUAUUGUGGUGGCCUCUGUUGGAGACAAUCUUGAAAUUCUGGCUUCUAGGAAAGUUAAAUUAGUGGCAGAUCUGCUUCUUGAUGAAGCUGCUAAACUUACAUAUGACCUUGUAGUCUUGCCAGUGUGUUGGAAUUCUGUCAUAUUCCCUAGUCCUAAUUCCUCCCAAUUUUCUUUCUUUGUAAUAUAUUUUAACUUGGUCUUUCCUAUCUACAGGGAGGACUUGGUGGUGCCCAAGCAUUUGCUAAAUCUGAUAAGCUGGUGAACUUGUUAAAAAAGCAAGCGGAAUCAAACAAACCCUAUGGAGCUAUAUGUGCCUCUCCAGCUUUGGUGUUGGGGCCUCAUGGUUUACUCAACGUUGUUGAAACAAUUGAAAAUUCAUCGUAUAUUUACUGCAGCAGUCUGUUAUACAUUUAUAGACUUAGUUAUCAAACUAACUAACUCAUACAUAACUGAUACUAACAACUUUGCUAACCACUCUGCUAUUUGCUAACUAAUUUACUUCUCAACACUCCCCCUCAAGUUGAGGGUUGAUACAUAUCUUUAACCCCUAACUUGGAUACUAAGUAUUCAUGUUGCUUAAUGCUUAGAGCCUUUGUCAUUAAAUCCGCAAGCUGCUCAAUUGUCUUAAUAUGCUGCAUCUGAAUCGUUCCAUCCUUGAUUUUAUCACGCACAAAAUGACAGUCUAUCUCUAUAUGCUUUGUCCGUUCAUGGAAAACAGGGUUAGCUCAAUUUGCAGUGCUGCCUUACUAUCCGACAAAAUCAAAGCUUUAUCAAACUGACUAGGACUCACUUCUCUCAAUAGACCAUUCAACCAUGCAACCUCUGCUACAACCACUGCCAUACUCCUAUAUUCAGCUUCUGCUGACGAUCGAGAGACUGUGGUUUGUUUUUUUGACUUCCAUGAAACAAGAGAGUCCCCAAGUUUAACACAAAAACCAGUCACUGACCUCCUUGGCAUAGGACAUGAAGCCAAAUUAGAGUUACAAAAAGCCAUCAGCUGCGGCUUGCUUGCUACAGACAAAAAAAUACCUUGACCAGGUCUUCUCCUUAUGUACCGUACCACACGAAAGGCAGCCUCCAAAUGAGAUUUCUUUGGUUUAUGCAUGAAUUGACUUAGAUGUUGAACCGCAAACAUAAUGUCUGGUCUUGUAUUUGUCAGAUAUAGUAACCUUCCCAACAACCUUUGAUACAUCGAAACAUCUACAAUUAAACCAUCUUCUUCAAUUUUUGUUUGUACAGACUCAUCAUAUUCAACUGAAGUGAGUUUCUGAUUCUGCUCAAGUGGUGUACAUACUGACUUUGCUUCCCCUAAUUCCAGAUCAGCUAUCAACUCUAAAGCAUACUUCCUUUGAUUCAAUAUAAUCCCCUUGUUUGAUCUCAUCACUUCUAUUCCAAGAAAAAACUUCAACACACCUAAAUCUUUCAUCUUAAAAUUUUGAUGUAGAAUUUGUUUCAAUUCAUUUAUCAUAUCAACACUACUGCCUGUAAUUAACAGAUCAUCUACAUAGAUGAGUAAGAUGACGAUGUUACCUUUACUCCUUCUUGUGAACAAGGAAUAAUCAUAUUUACUUUGCUCAUAUUCUCCUCGUAUUAAGGCCUCAGUAAGCUUUAAAUUCCACUGUCGAGAAGCUUGUUUCAGACCAUAUAAUUGUUGGGAAGAAACCGAACAACCGAAACAAAGCGAAAGCACAACCGGUGUUCUUUCUCUCCUUAUAACUCCUGUCAAAAAUUAUGGCAAGCACAAUAGCACAAGAUAUGUUCUCUAGCAACCUUAAUCAACCACAAAUCAACUAAUGCAACCACAACAAAAAUAAAUAGAGACACAGAUAUUUUUACGUGGAAAACCCCUCUAAAUCAAGGGUAAAAACCACGGGACUUUAGAGUCCGAUAAAGAGCUCCACUAUCAUCAAAUGUUCGGCUACAAGAUCACAAUAUCAAGCCUACAACAAGCAUUCAACUCCGACAAGGCUAACAAUAUGUAAUCUUUAGCAAAAGAGAGAAAAAUGAGAGAACAUCACCAAAAACGUAGCUGCUGAAAAAUGGGUAUUUCCGACGCUACAAGUCUCGGAUGAAAAAUUCGACCGUACAAAGUCAAGAACACCUUAUCACCUAGCUGAACACCUUAUCACCUAGCAGCUGUCCAAAAAUCAGCUCAAUCGAACCACGGAUGGACCUUCGAUCGAGGAGUUGAUCACUGCUGCACCAAGCUUGAAAAACUGAUUUUUUUUCUCUAUUCUCUCUUUUUCUCCAACGAGCUUCAAUAUCACUCUCUGUUUUUCUCUGGAUGUAAUUGAGAAUUUUGCUCUCAAUUAAGAAUGCUGCCCACUCCCACGUUAAAAGGCCAAAAAAUUGGCUUUUGACAAAACCAAAAAGAAGGCAAAACAUUGUGGCAGAAAAUAUGGGUUUCCCACAUAGUGGGACCCACACCUAACAAAUCUCCCCCUCCAACUAUGUGGGGAAUGCCUCCAUACCGGAGGUCAAACAACAUGCUUCAAACUUUCCUCUUGGUAAGGCCUUCGUCAACAUAUCAGCACCAUUAUCAUUAGUGUGUAUCUUCUCAAGCUCUAACAGCUUAGCUUCAAGAACAUCUCGUAUCCAAUGGUACCUCACAUCAAUAUGCUUAGAUCUAGCAUGAAAAGUUGAGUUCUUACCAAGAUGAAUAGCACUCUGGCUAUCACAGUACAGGACAUACUUCUCCUGAGUAAAACCAAGCUCAUGCACAAACUUCUUCAUCCAAAGCAUCUCCUUACACGCUUCGGUUGCUGCAAUGAACUCUGAUACGGUGGUGGACAAUGCAACACACUUUUGCAGUCUCGAUUGCCAUGCCACAGCUCCCCCUGCAUAAGUGAUUAAGUAACCUGAAGUAGAUCUCCUCGAGUCAAUGUCUCCGGCCAUGUCUGAAUCUGUAUACCCAACAAGAACAGGUUUCUCAUUGCCGAAACAAAGUUUCAUGUUGGAAGUGCCACGAAGAUAUCUCAUAAUCCACUUCACUGCAUUCCAAUGCUCUCUGCCUGGAUUAGAAAGAAACCGACUAACUGUACCAACGGCAUAAGACAAGUCUGGUCUCGUGCAAACCAUUGCGUACAUCAAACUACCCACGGCUGAAGAGUAAGGAAUUUUCUGCAUCUCUUCCUUCUCCUUUUCUGUGGAAGGACUAUGCUUAACACUCAAUCUAAAGUGCAUAGCAAAGGGAGUAUUCACCGCUUUAGCUUUGUCCAUACUAAACCUUUGAAGUACUUUCUCAAUGUACCUCUCUUGUGAUAACCAUAAUUUCUUGGCCUUUCUAUCACGUGUCAGUCUUAUGCCAAGAAUUUGCUUUGCUGGCCCCAAAUCCUUCAUUGCAAAGGAUUUACUCAGCUCUUGUUUCAACUUCUCAAUUCUAGAAGCAUUCUGACCAACAAUAAGCAUAUCAUCAACAUAGAGCAAAAGAAUAAUAAAAUCAUCACCAGAGAAUCUCUUAACAAACACACAAUGAUCAGAAGUAGUCUUCUUGUAGCCUUGCUCCCCCAUAACAGACUUAAACUUCUUGUACCAUUGCCUUGGAGCUUGCUUCAAACCAUACAAGCUCUUCUUCAAUCUGCACACAUAGUCAUCUUUCCCUUGUGCAACAAAACCCUCUAGCUACUCCAUGUAAAGCUCUUCUUCCAAGUCACCAUGAAGAAAAGCAGUUUUCACAUCCAUUUGUUCAACCUAUAGGUCAUAACAAGCUACCAAACUCAGUAUAGUUCUGAUAGAGGACAUCUUCACAACCGGAGAAAAUAUUUCUUCAAAAUCAACCCCUUUUUUUCUGAGUAUAACCCUUGACGACCAAUCUAGCUUUGUAUCGUGGAGAUGAAGACUUCUCUUCUUGUUUCAACCUGUAAACCCACCGAUUAUUCAAAGCUCUUUUGCCCUUAGGCAGUUUCACCAAUUCAAAAGUAUGGUUCUCAUGCAAGGAUUGAAGUUCGUCUUUCAUCGCUUCAACCCACUGAUCUUUGCAUUCACUCUCUAUAGCCUCUUCAUAACAUUCAGGUUCUCCCCCGUCAGUCAAAAGAACAUAUUCAUCAGGAGAAUACCUGACAGAAGAUCGUCGAUCUCUGGAAGACCUUCAAAGUGGAACUGCUGGUGGAGCUAUAGGUGCUUGUUGUUGAUCAUUCACAACAUCAUCCAUGAGAGUAUCAAAGUCACCUAUAGUCUGAUGGUCACCACUAACAUCACCAUGCACAUCAUCCUGGAUAGGAUCUGAUGAAGAGUCUAGGGGAACCGGAUUCACAUCGAUCAAGUCACCACUACCUUGUGAAUCCACUUUCUCCGUCUUAUCAAUGUCAUCAAUGGUCUGAUCCUCAAUGAAGACAACAUCUCUGCUUCUCACGAGUUUCUUCUGAACUGGAUCAUAGAGUCUAUAACCAAACUCACCAUCUAGACCAUAACCAAUAAAAAUGCAUUGUCGAGCCUUGGCAUCCAACUUGGAUCUUUCAUCCUUUGGAACAUGAACAAAUGCUUUACAACCGAACACACGUAGGUGAUCAUAUGACACGUCUUUACCAAACCAAACUCUAUCUGGCACAUCACCUUUCAAAGGAACACUAGGAGACAGAUUUAUCACAUGUGUCACUGUAUUCAAAGCUUCAGCCUAAAACGAUCUUGGUAACUUUGCAUCUGACAACAAACAUCUGACUCUCUCAAUCAAUGUUCGGUUCAUUCUUUCAGCUAACCCAUUUAACUGUGGAGUCUUUGGUGGUGUUCUCUGAUGUCUGAUUCCCUGUCGCAGACAAUACUCAUGAAACGACCCUGUGUACUCGCCACCAUUAUCAGUACGAAUGCACUUCAACUUCUUCCCAGUUUCCCUUUCAACUGAUGCUUGAAACUGUUUAAACACCUCAAAGACUUGAUUUUUAGACUUCAAAGUGUAAACUCAUAGCUUUCUUGAACAAUCAUCAAUGAAAGUCACAAAGUAAAGUGCACCACCAUGUGAUCUUACUUUUAUCGGACCACAAACAUCUGAAUGGACCAACUCUAGCAACUCUGAUUUCCUAUUAGGAAGAUGGCUUCUAAAUGAAACUCUUCUCUGCUUUCCAGCUAGACAAUGAGCACAAUUCUUCAGUGUAGCAUUCUUUAAACCCGAAAGUUGAUUCUUCUUCGCUAAACAGCUAAGCCCCUUCUCACUCAUGUGACUGAGUCGUUUAUGCCACAACUCAAUUGAGUUGUCAUUCAGUGUCACAUUCACCGUCUCUCGAGAAGUCAAAGCUUGCAUCAAGUACAAAUUUGAGCUCUUCUUUCCUCGAGCCACAACCAGGGAGCCUUUAGUCAGCUUCCACUGCCCUUCACUGAAGGUGUUACAGAAUCCCUCAUCAUCAAGCUUUCCUGCAGAAAUCAAAUUCAAACGGACAUCCGGUGCAUGUCUGACAUCCUUGAGAGUUAACUUUGUUCCAUUGUUACUUACCAAGCUAACAUCUCCCAUACCAAUAACCGAAACCAAACCAUCAUUACCCAUCUUCAAUACCCCAAAAUCACCAGGAGUAUAAGAUAUGAAAAAUUCCUUCCUCGACGUGACAUGAAGUGAUGCACCAGUAUCAAUCACCCAACUAGUCUCGUCGCAUACUAGGUUGACCAAAUUCUCAUCACAAAUAACUAACAGAUCUUCACGAGUAACAGUAGCAACACGCUCGAAUUUUUCAUCGUCAUUCCGAUCAUGUUUAUCACCACCACCUUUGUUCUCUUUCUUCCACUUGAAGCAAUAUUUCUUGAUAUGACCUUUCUUACCAUAAUGAUGACACUCAAGAUUCUUGUAUCUCGAUCUUGACUUGCUUUGGCUUUUAUCUCUACCCUUUCCAUCUUUGUCUCUGUUUCUCCCCCUGUUCUCGAUAACCAACACCUCGGACUGUGAUGUAGAACCCUGAGAUCUUCUUCUAACCUCUUCAUUCAACACACCACUCUUAGCCAAAUCCAAAGUAAUAAUACCCUGUGGGGCAGAAUUAAUGAGUGAGACUCGAAAGGUCUCCCAAGAGUCUGGUAGAGUAGCAAGCAACCAAAGUCCUAAAAUCUCGUCAUCAAAUUUGACACCCAUACCAAGCAACUGAUUCAUCACACUCUGAAAUUCACUAACAUGGUCAGCUAUAGACAUUCCUUCUUUAUAUUUCAGCGCCAUCAUUUUCUUCAGCAAAAACAACUUGUUAUUGCCCGACCUCGAAGCAUACAAGCUUUCAAGCUUCUCCCACAAUGUUCGAGCAUGUGUCUCUUGAUCAAUGUUGUUGUAAACAUUUUCUUCAACAAAUUGCCGAAUAAAGCCACACACUUGUUGAUGCUCAAAUUCCCAUUCUUCAUCACUUUUCGAAUCGGGUUUUUGAGUAGUAAAGACCGGAAGAUGCAAAGCCUUCACAAACAACAAGUCCUUCAUUUUAUUCCGCUAAAGUUGAUAAUUUGUACCAUUCAACAUAAUCAUCAUGCUCGUAUUAAUUUCCAUAAUUAUCUGACACAAUAACCAAGCUCUGGUACCAGUUUGUUGGGAAGAAACCGAACAACCGAAACAAAGCGAAAGCACAACCGGUGUUCUUUCUCUCCUUAUAACUCCUGUCAAAAAUUAUGGCAAGCACAAUAGCACAAGAUAUGUUCUCUAGCAACCUUAAUCAACCACAAAUCAACUAAUGCAACCACAACAAAAAUAAAUAGAGACACAGAUAUUUUUACGUGGAAAACCCCUCUAAAUCAAGGGUAAAAACCACGGGACUUUAGAGUCCGAUAAAGAGCUCCACUAUCAUCAAAUGUUCGGCUACAAGAUCACAAUAUCAAGCCUACAAUAAGCAUUCAACUCCGACAAGGCUAACAAUAUGUAAUCUUUAGCAAAAGAGAGAAAAAUGAGAGAACAUCACCAAAAACGUAGCUGCUGAAAAAUAGGUAUUUCCGACGCUACAAGUCUCGGAUGAAAAAUCCGACCGUACAAAGUCAAGAACAACUUAUCACCUAGCUGCUGUCCAAAAAUCAGCUCAAUCGAACCACGGAUGGACCUUCGAUCGAGGAGUUGAUCACUGCUGCACCAAGCUUGAAAAACUAUUUUUUUUUCUUUAUUCUCUCUUUUUCUCCAACGAGCUUCAAUCUCACUCUCUGUUUUUCUCUGGAUGUAAUUGAGAAUUUUGCUCUCAAUUAAGAAUGCUGUCCACUCCCACGUUAAAAGGCCAAAAAAUUGGCUUUUGACAAAACCAAAAAGAAGGCAAAACAUUGUGGCAGAAAAUAUGGGUUUCCCACAUAGUGGGACCCACACCUAACAAUAAUGACUUAUGCAGUCGACAUACACGAGUCUCCCCCUGGCUGCAAAAACCAUCCGGAAGUUCCAUAUAAACUUCUUCAAACAAGUCCCCUUGAAGAAAAGCAUUGUAAACAUCCAUCUGAAAAAUAGGCCAAUCAUGAAUGACUGCCAGACAAAUCACAGUCCGAACUGUUACAUGUUUAACAACAGGGGAAAAAGUUUCAUGAAAAUCAAUUCCAGCCUUUUGAUUAUAACCUUUCCCAACAAGACGAGCUUUAAAACGCUCCACGGAACCAUCAGCAGUAUAUUUAAUUUUAUACACCCAUUUGCAGCCAAUAGGGACAACACCAGCAGGUAAAGAAAUAACUUCCCAUGUACCAUUAGCCUCCAAAGCUUGAAUCUCUUGUUGCAUAGCAUCAACCCACCGUGGAUCUGAAAUGGCCUCAUUAUAAGUGUGGGGUUCAACCAAGGAAGAAAUAUGAGCAGCAAAUAAAUGAGUAUGAAGAGGCAAAUGAGAAGAAGAAUAGACAUUGGCAAUAGGAAACAAACCUGUAGCACAAGAUGUGAACGAUUAACUAGAGCAGACAUAAUCUUGCAUCCAAGUAGGCGGCUUGACAGACCUUGUAGUACAGCGUAAUGAAAUGCUAGUAGGUGUUGGAGGUAGAGAGGACGAAGAGGCUGGUAUGUAAGGUAAAGAGGGAUUAACAGGUAUAGAAGAUGAAGGUGAAAUAGAGGUAACUGGUAUAGAGGGUGAAGGAGAUAUAGAGGUAACAGGUAUAGAAGGUGAAGCUACAGGCUCAAGUUGAAGAAAAACAGAAGACUCAGUAUCAGGAAAAGGCAAAAGACGCCUUAUAGGAAAAGUAAAUGGGAAUACUGUUUCAUGAAAAACAACAUCACGAUUAACAAAAAAGGUUUUGGUUUCAAGAUUAAACAAUAAGUAUCCCUUUUGUACAAGUGAAUAACCCAUAAACACUGAAGGAAUAGCUUUAGGAGAAAACUUAUCACGAUAAUUAGGAGUAGUGGCAUAUGCAAGACAACCAAAAACUUUUAAGCGAGAAAGAUCAGGAGGCUUAUUAUACAAAAGUUCAUACGGACAUUUCCAGUUCAAAAUAGGAGUAGGAAGACGAUUAAUUAAAAAACAAGCAGUCAAAACACAUUCGCCCCAAAAUUUAGUAGGCACGUGAGACUGAAAUUUUAACGACCUAGCCACUUCAAGUAAAUGUCUAUGUUUGUGUUCAGCAACUCCGUUUUGCUGAGGAGUGUGAACACAAGAACUUUGAUGAAUAGCUCCAAACAUAGUAAAAAACUCAGCACACUCAUUUUUGAAGAAUUCAUACCCAUUAUCACUACGAACAAUUUUUAUAACAGUAGAGAACUGAGUUUUUAUCAAAACAAAAAAUUGUUUGAGAUAUAGAAGUGCAUCACUCUUUGACUGUAACAAAUAAACCCAAGUCAUUCGUGUGUAAUCAUCAACAAUCGUUAAAAAGAACCUAUGACCACUAUGAGUAGACACUCGAUAGGGUCCCCACAAAUCUAAGUGAAUAAGAGAAAAAGCAGCAUUAACACGAGAUUUAUGAACAGGAAAAAGGAAGCCUCGUUUGUUUAGCUAAAGGAAAAACAGAACAUUUAUGAAUAUUAUCCACAUUUGACUUUGUACAAAAAAAUUUAGGAACUUUAUUUAGUCUUGAAACCGACGCAUAACCAAGUCUAGUGUGCCAAAGAAAAGACGAGUCAGCUGUAGCAACAGUAAUAACAGAGGACGCAAAUACAAUCCUCGCGGAGAGUUCUUUGCUAACCGUAUUCAGAAUCCAAUAUAGCACAAUCGCAUUGCACCGCUCCCAUUGAUAACCCAUUUCUUCCGGCCACAUAUCUUUGGAACAAGUACCGUCCAUAAAUCCCAAUUUGUUUUUCGCUAGUAAUGCAAUUUUCAUCGUUCUACUCCAGACGUUGUAGUUCUCAACACCAAUCAACUGUGCUACCAACAAAGUGCCCGGAGUGUCAGAAGGAUGCAAGUAAAGUAGAUGAUUGAAAUCGGUGAUUGAAUCGGAGAUACUCAUUGUCUUUGUUACCACGAACCAAAAAACAAGAAAAUACAGACUGAAAAUGCCCUAGAUUAACAGCCCAAUUUUGUUGAAUCAAGCAGACUUGGGCAGCAAAUGUAGAGAAACCAAAGUAACAAGAAUCGAACGCAACAACCAAAAAAAUAAUCACAGCCGCUGAUUUAACAAUUCAUCAGAAAUUUAGACACUUUCCGUACCUCUGAUACCAUGUUGAAACAAUUGAAAAUUCAUCGUAUAUUUACUACAGCAGUCUGUUAUACAUUUAUAAACUUAGUUAUCAAACUAACUAACUCAUACAUAACUGAUACUAACAACUUCGCUAACCACUCUGCUAUUUGCUAACUAAUUUACUUCACAAAAAAGGUAUAAUCUUGAUCGAGUUUAACAUUUUCAUGUUUUCAUUAAAAAAAUUGCAUGGAAUUGUACUUGUUUGUUUUGUUCGUAAAAUAAAUGAUCUACUUAAUUAAAAGAACCAUAAUCUGCCUCUGGGGAAGUAGUCUCUGCGUCUCUGGAGGCUUUUGAUUAAAUAAUUUCAACUACUAUAUACAUUAGAACUUAUAAUUUGGCAAUAUGGUCACUACAACAUACAAACUGUUUAGUUUGUAUCAUUUGCUUUUGCCUUUAAACUUUGAACUUUCACUAUUGUGCUUGCACUUGCUUUUAUUUUUUGAUUACAAGUGACAAGUUUGUGUGUGUGGUUCCUGUAAUUAUAUAUGUUUCAAACAUUUCGAUCUCGAGUGAAAAAAGAACAGCACUCAAAAGAAAUUUUCUAGUAUUUGGUAUUCCCGGAUGGUUAACAGUCGUGUUGUGCUAUGGUCCAGGGGAAAAAGGGCACAGCUUACCCUGCAAUGUGCGACAAGCUAUCAGAUCAAAGUCAUAUUCACAAUAGAGUAGUGGUGGAUGGCAACCUCAUCACAAGCAGAGGCCCUGGAACUUCUAUGGAGUUUGCACUAGGAACCGUGGAGAAGUUUUUCGGACGCCCGAAAGCCUUAGAGCUAGCAAAAGCACUGCUUGUUGUACGCCAGUAGAUGAACUAGUAUGAGUGUUUGGUCCUGCCCAUUGUUGACACCAUUUUUUUGAUGAAAAACGGGGUCGACUUGGGUUUUGAAAAAUGAAACGGGAGUCGCCGCUAAUCCUUUUUUAUGAGGUGUGAUUGGAUCACCUCGAAAAGUGAUUGUAUUUUAAUAAACGGUUUGAUUUUAUUAAAACAACAAGUUUGGUCCACGAAAUUCAGAAAAAACGGGUUCGGGAGUCGGUUAUGCACGAGGAAGGAUUAGCACCCUCGAUACGCCCAAAAUUGGUACCUAGUUGAUUACUUAAUGUCUUAAUGUUGAAAAUUGAGAACUUUGGAGAAUUUUAAAAAUACGAUCAUUUUAUUAAAACGUUGAAAAUUUUCAAGAAAAAGGGGAUAUUUCACGUUAUUCGAGAAAGAAAAUCAUAUCCAGUAAGUUGAGAAACAAUGUCUCGAAUUCCCGAUACGCGAAUAAAAAAUGCUUAUUUAAAAGAUAUUUAAUUAUCUUGGAUUUAAAAAGGGAUCACGACCAGUAAGUUAGGACACGAUCCUUUUUAAAACUUGAGUUUGAAAAAAAAUUGUGUAAUAAAGUUUAAAAGAAUAUUCAAUUGUUUAAAUCAAAUGAAGAAAUCGCAACCCAAUACGUUAGGGCACAAUUUCUCAAAAUAUUAAACAUUGAAUAUUGCAUUUAUUUCGAAAAAUCCUCGUCUCGAGAAAACAACGUGUCACAUCCAAUGCGUUAGGAUACAACGUAUUGAAUUCUUAAUAACGAGCUUUUUAUCAUUUUUUAAAAGAGUAAUCUCGAUUAUUUAGGUUCAACGAAGAAAAUCGGAACUCAAUACGUUAGGGCUCAAUUCUCUCGAAGAUCUCAAAUACCGAGUAUUACUUACAUUUUUAAAAUUUUCCAUUUUUGAUAAAUCCGAGUAAAAGUAGGUGUAAAAUAACAAUAAUGAUGCAAUGUAAAUAAAAUGAAACAAAUAAACAAUAAAAAAUAAUCAUACGGGCAAAAUAACAAAUAAUAUGAAACUAAAGUAAGAAAAUAAACAAUAAUAGACAUAUGAAAAAAUGAACAAAAUUAACACAAUCAUAAAAAUACAAAAGAUAUAUAAAUACGUACAUAUAUGUAUAAAAUUAUGAAAAUAUGGAAAAUAUAUGCAUGUAUACAUUUUUGAAAUUAUUAUACAUGAAAAAUUAUGUAAGUAUGUAUAUAUGAAAAUUAAAACGUAUAUAUAGGACAUACAUAAUAUAAAGUAUAAAAUAUAAUAUAUAUUAGGAAAGUAUAUAAAUACAUAAAUAUGUACAUAAAUAAUAAUAAAGGGAUAAAUGUAUGCUUAUAUAUAUAUCCUAAAAUAUGUAUGUAUAUUCAGAUAAUAAAUGCAUGCAUAUAUACAUAGAUCAUAAAAUAUAGAUAUGUAUAUAUAUAUGUAUAUGUUUUAAAAUAUGUAUGUAAUAACAAAAUACAUUAAUACGUAUAUAGGAUACAACAUAUAGAAAUAUAAAUAUAUAAUGUACAAAUAUUUGAUUGUAAUAUCAAUAAUAAUAUAAUAAUAUUAUUAUUAAUUAAUUAAAAAUAAAAUAGCAAACUUAAAGGGCUAAAUCGAAUUAAAAGGCAGAAAUUUAGGGCGGAUUCGAAAUAAAUAAAAAAGGAAGGAUUGAUUUGAAUGCGCGAUAACAUAGAGGGGCUGAAAGGGAAAUUUUCUCUUCUCCUCUAAAACGCACAGCUUCAUUGAGGACGAAAUCGAGAAAAAUGGAAUUUUGUGGAAAAAUUGAAAAAUAAAAACAAAAUAGGAUCCAAUCGUAAACAGCCUCAAAAGCGUAAGGACCAGGGACACAAAUAACCCCUUUUAUCCAGAAACACGCGGAUCCUAGGCGGUUCGGGUCGGGUCGGCCCGAUUCAAGGAAAAACGACGUCGUUUUGGGUGUUUUGGUGCCAAGCCAAAACGGCGCCGUUUCACACCACUAUAAAUUCCAAAAAUUUUACAAAAAAUUCAUUUCCUUAUUCUUUUCAAAAUAAAAAAACUUCAAACUCUCUCAAGCCCUUUUGGGCAGUCCGGCCUCCAGCCUAAGGUCUGGCCGUCGGUCAUCGCGCCGGUAGCCGGUCGCCAGCAACGGCACCGCCGUCCGUGGUGGCCGGAAAAGUCCAAAAAGGCCUAUUUUACCCCUCUUUUCGAGUUGGGUUCAUAUUCGGGGUUAGAAAAGCCGAACUCCCAACGAAAAGGGGCCAAAAAUGGAAGAGACCCUUCGGUUCUUCCUCCUCUCCUCCGCCGAAAUCAGGUAAAAUUCUCCUCUUUCUUUUAUUUUAUUGUCUUGUUAUAUAUAUUGAUUAAAUGAAACAAAAAAAAAGAAAGAAACGAUUCAGAAAUAAAAAUAUGUAUAUAAACAAACGAAGAUAGGAUAAAGGAAAUAAAAAAAGAUCACCUUCAAACUUUUUAUUUCUUCCAAUUUUUUUUAAAAACCGAAAAAAAGGUCCUAUACAAAUUUGAUAUUCGGCUAUUUAUAGCCCAUUACAUCCAUUUUUUACAAUUUUCCUACUGUUAUUGUACUUGCUGUUGCGUGUGCUCUCCCUUGCAGGUGCCAGAGGAGUUGGUGGUGGUGGUUGCGGCGGUAGCAGAGAGCAGGUAGUGAUGUUGGUGGUUGCGGCGCUGGGCUAGGGUUUCAGUUCUGAAACCCUAGUUUUACCAUUGAGGCUGGGACUUUGGGCUUUGGAUCAGUUGGGCUAUUAUGGGUUUAAUUUGUUUUGGGUUUGUUAAUAGUUUGGGUUUGUAUUGGUUUUGGGCCCAGGAAAAUUUGGGCUGUACACCCAUAUUACCGUAUAGCCUGCUAUGAGACGAUAUAUGAGACUAUAGAAGGUGAGUUUGAAUUCACUCUGCGGUUUUAUGUACGAUAAGUUUGUUCCUUGUCGAUAAAUAAAUGAGUGUUAGAACAAGGUGAGCAACAUGAACACCUUUGGUACAUCUGUGAUGGCAUCCUUUGUGAAAUAAUAGUGGUUUUAAUUCUUGAAGCCUUCAUGGGUGGAAUAUUUUGUUUUCGGCAAUUUAUUUCUGAUUUCCAAGAAGUUGCCAUUUGAACCAUUUUAUAUUACAAUCUCAUUUUGCAAUCAUUCUCAACCAGAGUCCAUAACAAAUUUUAUCUAAAUAAAAUUUUACUACUGUAAAAUAUUGUUCUUUUCUAUUUUUGCAAAUAUAAACCAUGCCAAUCGUGCUUCAUUUGCCUAGGCAUGGGGAUAUCAAAAUUGGAUAUACAAUAAUAAUAAGAGAUAAAUCCUAUCUAUACAUGAAUUAUAGUUCAAUGUGUAAUUUUAUACAAGAAAUUUUGAUUUGAUCCAAUUCUUGUAAAUUAUUAACAAGAUUGUUGAUAUAACAUCAUUUUAUGUUUAUAUAUUAUAUUUAUUUAAUAUAAAGAAUUUAUUUCUUUAAAUAUGUAUGAUAAAAUCAAAAUUAAAGUUUCAAGUAUACAUUUGAACUACAAUUAGUGUUUCACGUGUAUAAUUGCAUCAAAUUAAAGUUCAUGUAUACAAUUGUACAUUAAAUCAAAAUUUAUGUAUAAUUUUAAGAUUUGUCCCUAAUAAUAAUAAUAAUAAUAAUCUUCUAACUACUUAAAUCUGAUGUAAUUUGAAAUGGUUUAUGCCGAAACCAUUUUUUUUUUGUAAAAGGAGUCGACUUGGAUUUUGAAAAACGAAAACGAAUAUGGGAGUCACCACCAAUCCUUUUUGAUGAGGUGUGAUCGGAUCACCUUGUAAUUGAUUGUUUCAAUAAAAUGUUUUGAUUUACUAAAACAACGAUUUUGGUCUACGAAAUUCCAGAAAACGAACUUGAGAGUCGGUUACGUACGAGGAAGGAUUAACACUCUCGUAACGCUCAAAAUCGGUACCUAAUUGAUUGAUUAAUGCCUUAAUGUCGAAAGUCAAAAUUUUGAAAGGAAAUUUAAAAUACUAUCCUUUUUUAUUAAUGUUAUUUAAAAAAUGCUCGAAUAAAUCGAAACAAAUAUUAAAGACCCUCUCAUCUUGAGAUAGCAAAACAUCACAUCCCGUACGUUAGGACACGACACAUUGAACCUUUGAGAAUGGGCUUGCCUUUAUUUUUUUUAUUAAAAAAAAACUUUGGUAUUUUAAAAAUUAAAAGAAUAUUUAACUAUUUGGGCUUAACGCGAAAAUUAAAACCCCGUAAAUUAAGUUACAUUUUUUCAAAUAUCAAAAAUGCAAAAGAUUACCUUUUCUUUUUUAGGAACUUUGGGUAAAGUUAACGUAGCAUUUAAACCACAUAUAAUGCAAUAAAAUAUUAUAAACAAUGAUGUAAUUACAAAGAUGAAUUUAAUACCAAUAAACCAGUCGCGAUAAAUAAAACAAUAAAACGGAAGAUGUAUAUAUAUAUAUAUAUAUAACAUGAGAAUGUUUACAAAUGAAUGAAACAAUGAAAUGAUACAUACGAAAAAUAAUAAGAUGAUAAAAUGCGUAUUUAAAGAAUUGCGAAUAGGGUAUAUUUUAAAGUGUGGAAAGUUAAAAAUUUAAUGCUGAAUAAAUGACUAGACAGAUGGAUAAAUAACUAAAUAAAUAAAAUAAAUGAAAUAAAUUUAAAGAGUCGAAAUUUAGAUAAUAAUAAAAACGCAAGUAUAAAAGGAUUUAAUUGGUAACCAAAUAAAAUUUCGGGGUAAGCAUUCGAAAUAACAAAAAUGGAAUAACGGGCCAAUUCGUAACACGCUGAAAAUACCAGGGAGCAAAAGGGAAAAUGUCCCAGGCUCCUUGUGUGCAGCAUUUCAAUAGAGGAUUAAAAUGAAACAAAAAUAAAAUUACGGGGAAAAAUAAAAAAAAUAAAAAAAUUGGAUUGCAAACUAAUUAAAAAGCGGAAAGGGAAAUUAGACCCUUCCGCAAAAACACGUGGAUCCUGAGAUUGGAGCGGGUCGUAUAUCGGACCAAAGCCAAAAUGAUGCCGUUUCGUAGGGUUUAUUUAACUCAAAAAAUUUUUAAAAAAAAAACCUUAUUUUUGCACUUCUCAAAAAAAAAACAAAACUUUCUAUCCAAGACCCUCUCCCCUCUUCCAAAAACCGGCCAUCCUCUAGCGAACCGCUACCGCGUCGGCCACCGGUCGCUGGCGAUUACAUUGUCGUCCACGACGGCCGAAAGGCCAAAAGUCACUUUUUUCUUGGUGAAAUCAAAGAGAAAGGGGUAAGUUUUUUUUUCUUUUUUUUUGUUAUAUAUUUGUUAUAUAUAUGUAUAUAUAGUUUUUAACAAAACGAAAGUACAAAAAAUUUAAAAUAAAAAGAACAGUUUCAAAAGCCUAAAAAAAAUGACCUUUGCACGACUUCGUUUUUCCUUCGAUUCGUUUUCUUUUUAUGCUUGAAUAUGUUUUUUAUUUUGAUUCCCCUCUAAAAUAUUACAUUGUUAUGUUUGGCUUUUAUAGCCAUAUUACACAAUUCUUUGUGCUAUUGUUUCUUGCUUUUUCUUUCUCUUUUCUUGCAAGUGGUGGAAUCAACGGUGACAGAGGGGCAAAUCCCUUUGCUAUUUUGGUGAAACAACAACAGAGAGGGUCAAGCCUCGGGACGAGGCGCGGGCGGUGCACCCGAGGAGGAGCGGCGCACAUGGGAGCUAAGGUUUUUGAGGAUGAGUUUAGGUUGUAGGCCAACGGGCUGCUUAGGGUUUUUAUAUUUUGGGCUAUUUGGGCCUCUUUUGUAAAUGGACUAUUGUAUUUAGUUUUUAUUUAUUUAUUUAGAUUUUAUUUGUCUUGGGCCCGAGCAAAUUGGGCCUAUUACAGUUUAAAUUCGGUUUGAUUUUAAAUUUAGUUUAGCUCAUAAUUAUUUGAAUCUAAUUGGACUGGUAUUGAUUGAUACGAGAAUCGAUACAGGCUAAAUGUAACACCCCAAAUCCGGCCUAGAUGUUAUGGUCGAAUUUAGAGUGAUUACGUAAAAUGAUUUAAAAAUUUAGCUUUCCAAAAUGUUAAAAACAACUUAAUUUCUAUUACUAAAGAAAUCUCCGAUUUAGAAGAAAUUAUUCUUAAUUAGUUGUUUAGUUGAAACCAUGUUCUAUUACGUUUUCUAAAAAUCGGUUAUUUUGCAGUGGAAAGCCUUAGAAAGAAGUAUUUUUGAAAGCACAACUUGUUGAUUAGAAACAUAUUGUCUUGUAGAAAAAUGAACUUUGUCGAUAAAACAUUUGAGCGGUAUUUUGCGAAAAACAAAAUUAAAGUCCAAAACCCGAAACCACCAAAAAUGUCCAGACAGUCCAAAAUUUAUAAAACUCUCAAACCCAAAUUUAAACAAAUUAAAUUUAUGAAAAUAUGGUUAUAACCGAGCUCCCGUCAUAUCGACCCGCCUAAGUUUGAGGGCUACCUGAAAGUGACAGACAAAUAGAAAGUGAGUUUUCAUAAUUCAGUGUGUAUCUUAAAGAAAACAAAAUUACAGAUUUAAUUUCAGAGUUAUUACAUAGCAAAGCAAAUACAGACGUAUCUGCUAUACAGACUCAUAAUCAUAUGCAAAUUUACAAUUCUACCCCCAUCAGCUACACAUUAUCUCCAACAUCCCUACACACCAUAUAGAGUAUUAAAUAUUUAUCUAGUGCUACGCAUCACUUAGUGUCGGUAUGACACUUUUCAGAUUACUUGCAAUUGCAGUGCCAGUAUAAUAUUGGGCGAGAUAUCGCCUCUCACAGAAAUACUUCCACAUAUUAUAUCCCACCCCAAAAUCAAAUACAAUCAGAACAAAAAUUAUGCAUAGCAUUUCAAAUACAAAUCAUAUACUUAUAUAAUAUUACUCUCAAUUUAAAUUAUCAUAUGAUAGCUCAAAUACACUUACAGACAUCGGAAAUUAUACCAAAUUUAAUGUUUGUUCGUUGUUUUUCAGGUUUCUCAUUACACCUGAUUCAAUUUCGAUGCGAAAACCCUCACGAGACUUCCAGAACCUAAACACAACAAUUAGGACACUUAAAUCAGUAACCAAAACAAACCCAUUCAGAGAACACCAUCCUCAAUUCAUCCAAAAACUACUAAACAAACCUAAAAACGAAGCUACACAGCCCCAAAACAAAACCGAACGCUUACUCAAGCACGCAACAGCAACACACGCCCUUAAAUCACUGAAGAAACGCCUCUUCCCUCUUGAUCUUGAUCCUCUCCUAAAAACGUAGUGAAUUAAUAAGAUAUUGCAAGGAUACGAAUUUUGCACUACACUAUCACAAUUCCGUAAUUCCCAAUUGCCCACAUCAAUUCCACAAAAGAUCAUAGUAGCAGAUGAUGGAAUCUUACCUCUAACGAUUUAAGCCUACAACCGAAACAAAGGAAUCCAACCAGCAUUGACAGAAUGCAAGAGGCAAUGACUGCAACCAAGAAAAAUCAAAGAGAACCAAAGAGUAGAGAAUGAAGAACAGACGUGAAAAUAGAGGAAGGGAAAAAAAAUAAAAGUAAAAAACUAACCCACAAAUUUGAGGGAAAGAGAAAAAUAAAGAUAAAAGAAUAAAAUAACUAUUUUAUUUUUAAAAAAUACAAAUCAUAUCCCCAACUAACCAGAAUUAUUUCUUAGCGUUUAAACUUAAUCCAAAUUCCUCCACACAACAAAAACUAGUAUAUCAAAACUCAAAUUGUUGAGCGUUACAACUCUGCCCUCCUCAGAUUUAUUUCGGCCUCAAAAUUUACCUGAAUCAAACAGAUGUGAUUAUUGUUGUUGAAUUGUCGCCUCAAGUAUUUAGCGAUGGUUAUACUUGCAAAUGCCGCUAAAUCUAUGCCCAAACUCUCACACAAAUAUAUAGUGGCAUUUUAUAAUUUUUUUCGUCUCUAAAUCUCAAACUUUUAUUAAACAAAAGUUAAAUAAUAAUAAUAAAAGAUGGUAUCAAGUAUCAAUACAAUUUUAAAGGAAAAACUUAUUCAUCCCAUUCUCAACUUGAUUUUUAAAAACAAAAUCACUCUUAGAUUUGAUGGGUUUAAACCUUUUCUCACUCUUCUUUUCAAAAACACGACACAAUUACCGAUAAUAUUUUAAAGUUAAACAUUAUUAAUUAAAUAUCACAGAAUCACUAAAUUAAAAAUUCGAUAUAUUUUUUUUAUUCAUGAAACUUUUACUUUAGAACUUUCAACACUAUCUUCAAAUGAAGUUUAAGAGGAAUAUAGUGUUAUUGAGUCAUUGAGCUUGAGCUUAUGGUAUUAAUAAAAGAUGAUGGUGAACAUGUUCACAACACAGAAUGGAUACAUUCAUGAUCUAUAAAUAUAGUACAAUCAUGAGUACAUGUCCGAACAUACAUUUGGGCACUUGUAGACUGAAAUUAUCACUAAUAUUUAUAACUAAUGUUAUGAAUAAAAUCAAAACAUUGGCAUUAAUGAACUCACAUAUGUAUAGCAUUUUAAUAUAUAUGUAUAUUGUAAGUGUAAUUUAACCAUGUUUCCUUGAAACAUUAACGUAGAAACCAUCCGUAAAUUCCAGAAUGGGUGAACGAACAAUGUUCCCUCCCUUGAUUUUUGUGAACCUGUUCAAUAAAAUUUGCAAAACAUUUUUGGUUUAGAUUCUUUGGAUUAAAUUAUUAAAAAAAUAUAAUGAAAAAACAUACCUGAAUUUGAGUUCCAAUGAAUUACAUGCCGCAAUAAUUGAGAGAAGUGAGAUGGUGCCAUUAGUGAGUUCUUGUAGCAAAUAUGUAAUUAAUUUUUUGUAGUUAAUGGUUUAAAUUUGUAUUAUAGAUUUUUACUUAUAUAUAAUGCCUUGUUUGUAUUAGUUGGAAUACAUUAAAUUAAUAAAUCUACUAAUAAUUAUAUGUAUGUGAAUAAAAUUUUAGCCUAAAAUUAAAUACAUAUAGUUUCUGGUUACAAACAACCUCGUCAGACCAUUUAUGAAUGACUGCUAUAACAAUGUCCAAAGGUAAUCUUAAUUACGUUCGGUCCCUGACAAAAGGAUGAAGAUAAGCUUUCAUAUAUUUAUAAUUUGAUAUUUGUAAUGAUUCAAUUUUUAUUGGUAUUGAAAAAAAAUUAAAAUUUGAGGUUGAAUCUUAAUUAAGCUUUUUAUAAUAAAUAAUAAAUAUUGAGAUUUUCAAGAUGAAUAUGAAAAUAGAGAAAGAGAAUUAUUAAGUAAAUUAUCAGAGAAGUUAAUAAUUAAUGCAUAAUGACUAAAUUAGAAAGUAAUUAGAUUAGAGGGAUUAGAUGAGGGAUUUAACUAAGGGCGUGUGAGUAAUUAAAUCAAAACCAAGUUAUAGCCAUAAUUUCCCACUAAGUAAAUGAAGAUAAAAUCAUGGCCAUUAAAAUUAUAAUUAUAGAUUAAUUAUAAUUGAUAAUUAAGUGAAUUAAUAAAAGAGAAAAGAGAGCCAGUGGAGAUUGAUGGGUAACAUGUUAAGUAGAUGAUAAUGGAGCAUUGAGAUGGGUUGAUAUAAUCAUAUUUAGAAUAACAUUUUAUUAGAUAAUUGCAAGUUAGGUGGUCAAGCAAAUAAAAUGAGUGGCAUUAUGUUGCAUCACGUGCUUCUUAGAAUAAGACAUGAAUCCCAUUGCAUUGUGAUCCACGAUGAGAGGAGAGAGAAGAUGAAAGGAAAGAAUGGGAAUUGGCUUUCCAUGCACUCGACGAAGGGAAAAAAGAGAGAGGAGAAAAUACACAAUGCUAUGAGUAGAGUGUUUAUGGGUUGGAUUAUUCGAUUAGGUUCGAAGAUUUAUUCAAAAUUUAAGAAGAUUUGGAUAAAAAUAUGGACAGACUUUGACAAAAUAUUAGGUCCAUAUUUCGAGCUAAACUAAACUUAAACAAGUAUAAUGUGUAUUAGUAUCAUACUUACGCUUGGCCCAUAAACAUCUCUAGCCACUCGCCCAACUUCCAUUAGGUUCAUUUAGAAGCCAUUGGUAUAGGAAAGGUGGAACCUUUCAAGUUGAAUAUGCUAAGUAUUUAGCUUUAAACCUGGUAGAGCUUCAAGUACAAAGGGGAAAAACAAUGGUUGAGUUGAGGAGAGUUUCUUAAUUAAUUUCUUAUUGGGUUGAGAACAUACCACUAAUUCUAAUUCCUUGUUGGAUCACAAGUGUAAUUCGAUAUAUUAAUCUAUGUAUCUACUUUAAAUCUCAAAUCGAUUAAUAAGAGCUAAAUAUGAAAUUAUAAUAUGAUAAUAAAACUUGGUUAUUGAUAUAUGAAAAUGAUAUACGAUGUACACCUAAAAUAUUAUGAUGAACGAUGCUUAAAUACCUUGAUAGUAGAUUGAUGCGAUGAUAUAUUGUUAAAAUAUUAUGAUGUACCACGCUUUUGGACUUUGCAUUGGUAUCAUGUUUCUAAUUUGUGUAAGUUGUUAUGACAAUGAGAUUAGAUACUGCAACGAGACUGUUUAAUUAUCAAAAUAUCGUAUUUGUUUAAUUAGUGAUAAUGAUGUAUAUAAAUCAAGUGUUUAAGUAAUGAUUUAAAUGAAAUUGAAAUGAAUGAGAAAUAAAUUCAUAGUAAUUAUUAAGUAAUAAUGUUAUAAUGGAUUAGACUGUGAAAUAAAUUAAAAGUGAAUAUGUUAGGUGUGUAAUUAAGAAAAAGAUGUUAAUAUGUGCAUGUAAAAGUUCAUGAAUGAAAUAUAUUUAGAUAAUUGACUUUGCUAUUGUGAUUAAUUGUUUGUAUUAAUGAAUUAUUCUAUAUGCUUGUUGUAGUAUUAAUGUUAUUUAGAAUAAUAUUUUUGUUCAUUUUGUAUUAAAUUGAUAAAUAAAUGAAUGGCAAGUAAAUGGUAUUUAGUAAGUUAUUCACAUAGCUUAACGUAUAUAUUUUAAACGCAUAGGUGAAAGGUAAAAACAUGAAAAAUUUUAAGAUUUCUACUCCAGUUUGAAUCGAAUUACUCCUCAAGUUAUAAGUUCAAACUUUUUGAUAUAUGAUUAUAAACUUAGAAAUGGCAUGUACAUAGGGUGAUUAUAGAAAAGUUGAGAACUAUGAAAAUUUUAGUUUAUUUUGUUGGGACAAGUUUUGUUUUUAUGAUAUUAUAUGUGAUAUUUAGAGAUGUUUAAUGAUUUAAAACGAGCUUUAAAAUAUUAAAAUAAAAUGUCAAAUGUGAAUUGAUCAUUUAAAGAACUUAGUGGUUAGAUGUAAUACUCAUUAUUCAAGUGAUCGGUUUAACCCAAGUAAGAGGUGUUAGGACAAAGUCAUACAUGGAUGAAGUCGAAUAAAUCCUAUUAAAUCAUUGAAAAUGAUGAAGCAAUGUUUAACCAAUAAUAACUAAUAUACUUAAGAUUUGUUUGAAUGAACAUGAGGGCCCCCUGGAUUCGUACUUGGUGCAUGUUGGGGGUGUCCCUGUCCCCUCUCACUGCCUUCCCAUCACAUCACGUGCUUCUGUAGAGAAAUUCUUAUUUUAAUAUUUGAUAAAACUAAGUAUAAUUGGUCAUAUUCUAACCUUUAAUAUUUCCAACUGUAACUGGCAAGGAAGUCGAAGAAUUGAAGUAACUGAACUGUACGCAAGAGUCAGUCAACUUGUUUUAAUUUUGGAUAUUUAUGGUGUGCCAUAGAGUUCAGUUGAAAAGUCUUCCCUGUUAAAUUUAUAUUUUAGUUAUUUAAUUUUAAAAAAUUAUAAAAUAAUUAUUAAAUUAUUUAAAUAUUUUGAUUUAAGUAAUUCAAUCAUUAUGUUUUUUCUUUUAAAGUCUGGUCGGUGAGUUUUGAGCAAUGAUCAGUAUAGUAGAAUAAUAUUUGUUGAGUGUUUUUGUAUGUUUGCCCUUCAAAGGGAGUUAAAUUCUCUAUUUAUAUGAUGCGUCCCUCUUCUUAGAUAUGACAUCCUAAAUAAGUUUUUAUGCAUGUCAAUACAUACCUUACUUUAGGUGAGGGUUUGCCUACAUGGUGGUGCGAACCCACCCCGUGCGAGUUCAUGAGAGGAUGCGAACUCAUCGCGUGCGAACCCUAGUAUGCAAACUAUUUAGGCUAUGAAUCGGUCCCAGUCAAGUAACCGAGUAGCAGGUCAACAAUGGUGAACACCAAAACAAUACUCAUUGACGAGUAAGACAUAUCUUAGAUCCAAGCUAUUCUGAUAAUUAGUGUUGGAGAUCAAAGAAGAAAAUUGUUUAGAUUUUGACUCACAGAUUGAUAAUAUUUAAAGUUGUUUUAUAUAAAAAAAAUUAAGCUGUAAAAGUGAAAGGGAAGUUUACCCUUUCAAUCAGUGCAUGUAGCAUUUAUCUAAAAGUUUGGAAAUAAAUUUUAGUUCUCCGAAAAUAUAUAUUUAUUCUGCAAAUAAAUUUAAAAAAUAAGUUUAAUAUAACAUUUGAUCCUUUGAAACUUUUUUUUUCUAAUUUGAUAUUUAGACUUUUAUUAGUCUAAUUUGGUCCUCGAUCUUUUUUUAAAAAAAAUUUUGUAAUUGGGUUUGAUAUAUAUUUUUAAUUUGAUACUUAAUUUGUUUUAUUUCAAUUUGAAACUUAAAUUUGGGUCUUUUUCUUAAUUUAAUACCUAAUUUUUUUUAGCAAAAAUAAUGGAUGUAGGAUAGACAUGUGACAUGUGAAAAAUGACAAAAUAUUUUUUUAUAUUAAAUGUUUAAUUACUUUUAGUUUAAUUUAUUUAUUUCAUUUUAUCAAUUUAAAAUAAUGAAUUUAUUUUAUUUUGAGUUUUUAGAACUUUUUUUUUAGUAUAGCUCAAUGCAUAAUUUUUUAAUAUUAAUUUUCGUUAAUACUGAUAAUAUUUUUGUAGCAUAACACGAAUUUUUAAUAUUGUUAGUAGUUUAGAGUAAUCCGUAUAUUAUUUAAUAAAUUUAAAUAUUAAAUUAAACAUAAAAAAAAUUAGUUACCAAAUUAGAAAAAAUAUAUCAAAUAAAAAUUUUAAAUAUCAAAUUAAGAAAAAAUGUUAAGUUUAAAUAUUAAAAAAUAUUAUCGGUUCGUACUUUAGAAAUAUUUUUUUUUUUUUGCAUGUCAGGCAAGUUGAGAGCCAGCCAGCGAGGGACCCCACGGCCCACUGUUUUAAGAGGGUGGCACCAAUUGAAAUUACAGCCGCAAUUUUAGUUGGUUGGACUAUUAUUGACACAGAAAAUUUAAAGAAAACUAAUAUUUUUUUUACCUAGAAUAAAAUCGUAAAAUGGAUAUAAUAAAAAUAAAGAAAACAAAAUGUGUGUUAAAAAUUAUUAUUGAAUAUUAAUUUAAAUAAAUUUAAUGUUUUUAAUAAUUUUUUAAAUACUUAUGUAUAAAUUAUGUUUUGAUUACUAAAUUUUAAAAAAGAAAUUACAAUAUGGUCACUAUUAAUUUAUUAUUUUCUUGUCACUUAGGAUGGGUUUCGAUGGACGAUUAGGUGCGAUGCGUUUAGCUCACUUUUUAUUUCACGCUACAGUAUGACUACAGUAUCUAAUCUCACCGCCAACGCUGUUUUUACGCUAAUCGCAGGUAAAUACACCGUCCAUCCAAACUCACCCUUAAUUGUACCCUCCGCUAAUGGUGCGAUGGAAAUCUCACGUGCCAAUAAAAUUGUCAUUUAAUACAUACGUGGAAUUUACUUAAACUAUCGAGUAGAUUAUUUCUUAACAAUUACGCGGAUUCCAUGUAUAUUAAGUAAAUUUAAUCGAGAGAUAUUAAGAAAAACAUACUAUUAAUAAUUUAAAGUCAGUAGGAAGAAUAUGAAAUAAACUAAGCGAACGUAAAGAAAUUAUGUGGUAGAUGAGAUAUUUUUAAUGUGUGUUUUUCUUUUAUGAUAUUAAUUAUCAUUUAUCUUAUAUUGAAACGGACGUCUUCCAAAGUCAGAUAUGAACAUAAAAGACCUCAACUUCUUCACUGUCGGAUGUCAUCACAAUUUGAUUCCGACAUGUCAUGAUCUGAUCCUGCUCAAGUACGGUUUGUGCCCUAAGAGUAUAAGUUUAAAUUGGAUCUUAUAAGUUUCCAAGAUUUGGUUACAUUAAAACAUGGAUGGGUGCGUUUUAGACCAAAACUAUCGGUGUACGCUAUAAAUUUAAAAAAUGAUAACAUUUGAAUAUGUGACAUCGGAUAAAUUUCCUUUAGAAAUUUAAAAUAAAAUAAAAUCAGCUUUUUUAGAAAUCUGACCUUAUAAAUUUAAAAAAUUAUAAAAAUAUCUAAUUUCAAGAUUAAUUAUGGAAAUGGCCUAAUUUCUACAAAGAAGUUAGUUGCCGCCACUUUCUCACCGACACUACCCUAAAAAUAUCCCAAUUAUAUUUUAAUCAUUAUAAAAAAAAAGAUUGGAAAGCAAAAAAAAACGGACCUAAUGAAAAAAAUAUCCAAUCAUGUUUUGAAGCACGCUGGAGAAAAAUGUUCAAGGAUUUUACCUUUUCUAGAUUGGCUGAAAAAAGUACCGCAUGAGAGUAUGGAGGCACUAAAUUAUACGUUUGGUUUAUUUGGAUGCUAGCUCUGUUCUUUUUUUAAAUUAAAUUUAAAUAAUCUUUAAAAGAUAUAAGAAUAACAAAAAUAAAUUAUUUUCAUUUAAAAAAAAGUACCCACAAAUUGAACAUUGGAAAGUUGAGGGAAAGAGAAAAAUAAAGAUAAAAGAAUAAAUAAAAGAGUAAAAUAACUAUUUUAUUUUCAAAAAAUACAAAUCAUACCCCCAACUAACCAGAUUUAUUUCUUAGUGUUUAAACUUAAUCCAAACUCCUCCACACAACAACAACUAGUAAAUCAAAAUUCAAAUGGUUGAGUCGCCCUCCUAAAAGAAAUUCCAGCCUUAAAAUUUACCUGAAUCAAACAGAUGUUAAUAUUGUUGUUGCAUCGACUCCUCAAGUAUUUAGCGAUGGUUAUAAUUUUUUUGUCACUAAAUCUCAAAGGAAAAACUUAUUCAUCCCAUUCUCAAACUUGAUUUUUAAAAACAAAAUCACUCUUAGAUUUGAUGGGUUUAAAGUUUUUCUCACUCUUCUUUUCAAAAACACGACACAAUUACCAAUAAUAUUUGUUAAUUAAAUAUCACAGAAUCACUAAAUUAAAAAUUCGAUAUAUUUUUUUAUUCAUAAAAAUUUUACUUUGGAACUUUGAAGACCACCUUCAAAUGAAGUUUAAGAGGAAUAUGGUGUUAUUAAGUCAUUGAGCUUGAGCUUAUGGUAUUAAUAAAAGAUGAUGGUGAACAUGUUCACAACACAGAAUGGAUACAUUCAUGAUCUAUAAAUAUAGUACAAUCAUGAGUACAUGUCCGAACAUACAUUUGGGCACUUGUAGACUGAAAUUAUCACUAAUAUUUAUAACUAAUGUUAUGGAUAAAAUCAAAACACUGGCAUUAAUGAACUCACAUAUAUAUAUAGCAUUUUAAUAUAUAUGUCUAUUGUGGGUGUAUUUUAACCAUGUUUCCUUGAAACAUUAACGUAGAAACCAUCUGUAAAUUCCAGAAUGGGUGAACGAACAAUGUUCCCUCCCUUGAUUUUUGUGAACCUGUUCAAUAAAAUUUGCAAAACAUUUUUGUUUAGAUUCUUUGGAUUAAAUUAUUAAAAAAAUAUAAUGAAAAAACAUACCUGAAUUUGGUGACCCAGACAUGUAAAAAGACAGCCACUAGAACCUUGCUGAACUCUGCCCCAGCACACGGCCUAUUCCCUCCUCCAAAUGGUAUGAAGUUCUUUGCCAUUCCAUUGCUCCCAAUGUUCUUUAUUAUUUUUAAAAAUAUCAUAACAAAUGAAAAAUUAUAAUUAAUGGCUCUCAAAGUUUAAUUUAAGAUCUAAUCCAUGGGAAAGAGUAUAAUUAUACCUUCCAUCUUGAAGGGUUGAAGGUAAGAGGAUCUUCAUAUAUAUUAGGGUUUAGAUGAAGUGCUGUGGGCAUAACCAAUAAGACCCAACCUUUUGGUAUUGUAUAUCCUGCAAUAUUUAUAUUUUAAAUUUUAUCAUUUAAAGGAUGAAUCACACUAGUUUAUAAUAUUCAAAUAAAUUGGUAAUAAUAUAUAGGAUAAACUAUCAAAAUAGUCACGUUUGUUUGUUACAUGUUACAUUUUAGUCACUUAAUUACAAUAUUGUGUUGUAACAUUUUAGUCAUUAAGCAUUAAUUGCUGUUAACGGUGUAACGGUAAGCUAAUGUGGCACAUUAAAUCAUCAUUUCAAACAAAAAUUUUAGGUUAAAUUAUACAAUUGGUCCCCUUUUUUUUGAGCAAUUUAAUUUUUUUCUUUUAUGUUAAAGAGAUGGAGAGGGAGGAAAAUAGAAGGAAAAACAAAAGAGAAUAGAAAAGGAAGAGUGAAAAAAAAAGGAAAGUUAAAAGAACAUAAAAGAAAAAAUUAAAUUGUUCAAAAUGAAAAAAUAUAGAGACCAAUUGUACAAUUUAACCUAAAUUUUUUAUUUGAAAUGAUUAUUUAAUGUGUCAUGUCAACUUACCGUUAAACCGUUAACGGAAAUUAAUGGCUCAGUGACUAAAAUAUAAUAUGAUAAAAAUAAAAGUGACUAUUUUGAUAGUUUAUCUUAAUAUAUAUAUAUAUAUAUAUAUUGUUAUCUACCAUCGACGUGAACGUCAGCUAUAACCUUCCUCAGCAUCCCAGGAAGAACAUUUUCUAACCUAAGUGUUUCAUUAAUCACCUGAAAAUAACAAAAAAAAAAAAAACAAGAACAUGAACAUGAACAUGAACAAACAAUGGGCUAAAUUUAUUUAUUAAAAAAGUUGGCAUAAUCAAUCAAUUAACUCACGUAACGAGUGAACGUCAUGGAUUUGUAUUCCUCCCAUACAAGUCCAGAAUUGGCAUCUUCUCUGUUCUUUAGAAUUUCCUCAUGCUCCUCCUGGUUCAUUUCUUAAAAACUAACAUAUUAAUAUCCAAAUUUUUUCAAAGAAAAUCAGAAUUAAAUUAUUAUUUUUUAGACUAACUUAUAAUUUUUACAAUUUUUAAAGGACUUACGCAAUUUACCGGUUUUAGUUUGUUUAGCCUUUGCUUACCUCUAACCCCGCUCCUGAUUAUAUCUAUCUGAGCCGUUCGCUUUUCUUACAAUAAUGUACCACCAGGUACAUCGACACAAGUACAAGAGUAGCUACCUCUAUGUACAUCUGUUUAUGAGUUGAAUUACUCGUCCAAGUUUAAAGAUUUGUUCGAAAUUUAAGAGGGUUUGAAUAAAAAUAUUAGGCCCAUUUAAAAUAUGAGUCAGGCUUGGGCUUGAACAUUCAAGACCCGAGCUCAGCUCGACCCGACCUGUUUUAAGUUUAUAAUACUUUAUAUUAUGUUAUUUUUAUAUAUUAUAUAAUUUAGAAUACAUUAAAAAAAUAAACUUGUACUAAAUAUAUAAUACUACUCUAAUGUUAAGAUUACUAUAUAAAAAAUUUUAAUAAAUAAAAAAUGUAUAAAUUUAUUAAAUAUUAAUAUAAUAUAAUAUAAUAUAAUAUAAAUAUAUAUAUAUAUUUUAAAUAAUAUAAGUGGGCUUAAAAUGGGCUUGAAUUAGUUUUUUACAAAUAUGACAGGUUUGGACAAAAUUUUAAGUUUAUAUUUUAGGCGGGGCCAGGCUUGGGCAAGCAGAAAAAAUAUUAAUAUCAUAUUUAAAUUUGACCCAAAUCCAACUCAUGAACACUUUGUAUAUAAAAAAAUUACAAAAAAUAUUUGAAUACAAAAUUAACCCUCAAACUAUAUCGUUUUUUUCACUUAAAUAUACCUAUGUGUUUGUCAAAAGUGAUAGAUUAACUAUCAAAAUUUUCUAUUUUACCCAACAUACAGUCUCAACCAAUUACUAUGCCACACAUAACAUGUUCUAUUAGAUGUUGUACUGAUAAAAUGAGAUGAAAUUGCAGAUCUCAUUUUUUACCCAAAAAAAACGAUAUUAAUUGGGACCAAUGUUAUAGUUAACACCUAUAAAAAUUGCAUAUAUUCAUGUACACUUAUCUAAAAUCUGAAUAUAUAACAUAACCCCAAAACUCAGAUUAUAUGAUUAAAAAUUAUAUAAAUAAACCCACCAGCUAUCUAAAAUAUUCACUUAGCAAAAAGAACUAUAAAUGCUUAAGUAUAUAUUAAUUUAAUUAAAAGCAAUAAUAAUGAUAAGUUAAAAGCAUAUAAACGAAGGAACGAACUGUUAAUUGUUGCAAAGCCGAUGGGUUGUCCAGUAGAUACAUGGUAGCCAAAGUGAUAGUGGGAGAAAUAGUCUCGACGGUAGCAAGGAGUAGCCCAAACAGAAGGUAAGGCACGAAUUCCUUCGUCAAAAAUGCUUCUUUCCCAAUGUCUCCUACUAUUUCAUCCAAAUAAUCUCCCGUUUUAUUGCAACCUUCUGCUGAAUUAUCACAAGAGUACCCCUUCAUUCUCUCUUCUACAACCCUACUUGUCAGCUUUAUUGCUUUUCUUUUCUUCUGCAGUCAAAGAUAUAUUUAUUAGUGUUUACCCUAGAAGGAUUCAUGAUGAAAUUCAUAUUUAAUGGCAUGUUUUUACCUGUAUACAUUUGUAGAAAGUGGUCCCAGGGAUAUAUAAAGGAAAUGUCAUAAUUGAUUGCAACAUGUUGUUUAAAUCUUCACCUAAAUUUUCUUCUGGUUUAUGGCUCAUCAGGAUCUGUGAGGUUAAAUCAAAUAACAUCUGCAAAUACCCAAACCAACAAUCUAUAUUUAUCUUUACGAUAAUAUUUCAUUC
rnacentral:lncRNA from 1 species